CAAAAAGACACCUAAUACACAGAUGAUGUAUCAUAUAAACAAACUAAGUGCUUUGGUAGAUGUAAAAACAGGUUGGAACUUAAGCUCAUGGCAAUGUUUUGAGCCACUCCAUUGUAAACAGGAAGAUAUGUAUAACUGUGGAGUGUACAUAUGCUUGUUUGCUCGAUGUCUAGCCCUUGGCUUGAAUCAAAAACCAGCAAACAUGGAGACUGAGAGAA